GUGGGGCUCAGCUGCUUUUGGCAGAAAGAUUUAUUGUAACAUUUAUCGUAACAGAAUGGUGUCAGGAGUGGGAUAACUCCAUGCCCGAAGGUUCCCAGAGAAAGAGAAAAUCAAAAGCUGUGAUUCCUUCCAGACUAAUAUGGUUUGAUCAAGCAAGACCCCCUGAAGCUGAGAUGAUACAGCCUUACAGACUAUAAAAACAAGGACUUGGUCAGGUUUCUAUGUUUUAUCAUGAUCCUAAUGGUAUAUGAACAUCGCCCCCAAUCAGCAGGAAGCAGUUUAGAAAGAACGACGCCCAUAUUCCCAAGUAUUGUUUAUAAAUGUUUUUUUCAUUUAAAUGAGGUUAGUUAUAAAUGAUAAUGAGCAUAGUCAAUCUCUUUUUAAAGAAAGAAAAGGGGAAUAGGAUAUAGGAAUGAAUACUUUAAAUUGGUAAAGAUUUUCAUUUAUUGAUACAACUUUAAGGUCAGUUUUGUGAUAUGUAUAUGUCUACUCUUGUUUAGGUAUUGUGUUUAUACAGAUCUUUUACCUAUAAUAGUCAGAACUUAUAAUUAGGUUAGUUAGGUUUUCUAGAUAUAGAGAUGUAUUUGAGAUGGUUAGGUAUUCUUCAAACCUUUCAAAGACCUACAGAAAUAUGGCAUUUAAAUGGUUUAGGGUUUUUCUUGGCAGUGAGACACAACUGCUCCUGGCACACCAAUUAUGUCAGAAAGGAGGAUGGGCAUCAAAGAAACUCGUUAUGGAGUUUGCUUUCAACAUGGCAAGACUAGCCAUUUGGGCAAGAAACUGCUCUUUCCUGGACUGUUUGUUGCUGUAUAAAUUGGACAUACAGGACCCACAAGAAAAUGACUGCUAAACUUACAAAACUGAAGGAUUCCUGUUAAAAUGGAGGAGUGUGCUAGACAUACUGUGGCCUAUAGGCUAAAGAUGGAUGCCCCAACAUUUACAGAGGAACUUUGGGUGACUGUCCAGGUAGCAAGAUGUCCUGUCAAUUCUAGAGUUUAUAUAUUAUCCUUCUGUGGUCUUUGAUAGAGUUAAAGACAGAUAGUUAUGGUUAUAGUUUUCUUCAGUUAUUAUAAAAAAU
rnacentral:lncRNA from 1 species